rnacentral:lncRNA from 1 species
ACUGGCAUAGGCUAAACCAAACCACUAAGCAACCUAAUUCAAGACCCAAUCUUCCAAAUUGACCAGAUAAGUGGAGAUCGAUGGGGGUCCCCCCAUUGCCUUCCUAAGAUACUAAUAAAUUGAUCAGGUUGGCUAACAGAACUAAUUAAAUAAUCACAUCUCAUUAACUUACCUGAGACACCAAUAGGUCGAUUAAUCAG